AGGACUUUUUUGCCACACAGCCUGGCACGAUUUGCUGACAGCACAUUGCGGUCAAUGGCAAUGACGUUAUUAGUGUUGAGCUGAGCGAGAGUCUUGUAGGUGGGUGCAGACGGGUUAUAGCUGGCACAAUAGGGGUAGCCGUUGUUCUCUGGGAAGCCGCCGGGGUUUUGGGGGCACGUGGUGCGCAGGUCGUAGUAGUAGGUGCCACUGCCUGAUCCCGAGUAAAGGACUUUGCUACCACCACUGCAUGGGCGGCGGGGGACAGAUCGGGGCGAAGUGUGACGGGCAGGGUGGUGUACACACGCUUGGGGGGUUAUUAGUAGUCUAAUAGUAGCUAGACUCUGUCACAGAAGCAACAACAGCAAGCAGAGCGUGUCGAGUUCGUACACGCACCCUCGGAGACAGGCAUGCAGAGGGCACAUGGCUGCACGUGCAGUACUGAUCCCAUCUACCUUCGCAGAGGUUCCUAUCGCACGUACAUAUGCCACAUAUACCGUGCUGAGGACAGUCCGGACAGCUAGCCGGCAGGGGGAAGACAGGGGACCUGACGACACACAUGCAUGUGUGUUAUGCAUGUGUGCGUAUAUGGUACAUACCCUUGCGGUGCAGGGCCAUUGCUGCCGCAUGGCACAUUGAUGACCUGGCCAACUUGCAGCCUGGCGGGGUUAACUCCCGGGUUCAAGGACUGAAUGACGUCCACGGUGGUGCCGCGCCGCUGAGCGAUGGCCCAAAAGGUGUCACCAGGCUGGAUGGUGUACGUGCAGCCUGUGUAAAUUGAGUGAGGCAAGGGAAACACCCUACUUAAGCAAGUGCAGCGCCGCUGUGGCUCAUUCGAUCAUCACAUACAAGUUGGGUGUCGGCUUCCUCGAAAAAGGGCGGGGCCCCUCUGCAUCGUACAGGCCGGUAGCUACAGUGGCACGUGUCACAAUUGAUGGGUAGUGUCAACGCGGUGGGAGAUGUGCUUUGUUGCAGCAGUGCUGAUGGUGUGAGAGCUAAGCUUGCACCGGCGGAAUCGUCAGCACCGCCUGAGGGCUCCACGCGAAUCACAUCCAUUCCGGGUGCAUGCCGCAUGGACAGUGCGGCAGACCGCAAGUCGGAAUGUCCGUGCGGGCAAAUGGUAACGAAAGCUGGGUGAAUUUCGGUGCUGUCUGUGAUGUUUAUCCCCGAAGCGCCAGCGGCCUCAGCAAUCCGCCCCACAGCCGCGGGCUUCAUCAGGGCACACCGCAAGUCUCAGGAGGCCCCGUGCAUUGGCCAAAGUAAAUGUACAAACAAGCAGCUUGUGUAUUUCAUAGAGGAAUGAAAGCAAAUUAUGUUGGCCUGCUGGUGGCAAGUCGGAUUGCCCAUGCCGGCAAAUGGUAACACAAGCUGGGUGUUCGAGUUAUCACACGCCGUCAUCUCAGAAUUCCAUUGUGAGAUACGCGGCAGCUCUCGGGAUGAAAUUUAGCGCGAGAGGCGUUGAUGUGACUUUUGAGGUCGGUGAAUGGAGGCAGCUAAACUUGUUUGUGCUCAUACGGUCUUUGUUAGCUACAUGCGAGAUACCUUGCAAAGAGAAUGCUGUAUAGUACCGAUAACGCGUUUCAGCCGGGUGAAAUAUUAUGUUUGGUCCGUUACACACUCAAGGCCUGGGAGUUCGAGUUAUCAUACGCCGUCAUCUAAGAAUUCAAAUAUGAGAUACGCGGUACCUUUUGAGAUUAAAUUUAGCGCGAGAGGCGUUGAUGUGACUUUGGCCUCGGUCAAUUGAGGCAGCCAAACUUGUUUGUGCUCAUACGAUUUUUGUUGGCUACAUGCGAGAUACCUUGCAAUAGAGAAUGCUGUAUAGUACCUUUAACGCGUUUCAGCCGGGCGAGAUAUUAUGUUUGGUCCGUUACACACACACACACACACACACACACACACACACACACACACACACGGACAUGGGCAAUCCUACAGGUCGGGGCCCCCCUGGGCGCUUCGCGCUGGGGCCCCGCCCAAAAAUAUCGCCUCAACACACUUCUGGCCACAGGUCUGCUGCACUUUUCUAAAGUGUGGUGCGUGUGUAGUGACUGCCUGCUGGGUAGAUGGGGAGGAUGCAACAGCAGACGCGCAGCAGCAGGCGUAUGUUCAUUAUGUGUACAACAGCUAGCUUGCAAUCAUGUAUGUGCCGUACUGGACAUAUCCGUCAAUACUACGAUAGCAAGCCAUCGGCGACGGCUUUCGGUUACCAUUUCUCUAUUUUAAUCCUAUGUUUCAUCACUAGCAUAUCAUAGUAUGCAUAUUAUGGGAUGGUGCCAGCGGUUGGACCCAACAGCUAUAAACGAAGUACCGUCCGGUGUUUCUCAGAGGGGGACUUUCGAGUUGAUUAGUUCACUACUGUUUUUAUUUACUCAGCAGCUGGUUCAGGGUUUGCAAAUUCACAAUAAAUUGCUGCGAAGGAUGAUUAUUUUAUUACCUCCUCCCUCUGAAACACUCAACAAACGCAAAAUGCAAGUGGGAUGACACCCAAGAACGAGCUAGCCAUAGGCCUAGGUAAUCCCCUUGUAAACGCUCCUUCGCCAGCUGUGUUCGCAAUAGCACCGCCUCUCAUUGACGAUCGAUCGCCUCCGGACUGCUGGGGAUGACAGACGAUGGCUCCGCCGUCACCACUUCCACACUACUAUUACUUUGACACAAAUCUUAAAAUCUGUAUGUUUUCUGAGUGAAACGAAUUUUUUUGACCAGGCUCGCCCCUUCCCACGGAAGCAAGCACGGCUUUCCUGCCUGCAGGUACCCCUCCGUCUGUACGACCCCUAAGCGGCCGCGGUAAGGCAACUACGCAAGAAAUCCUAAACAGGCAGUCAUGUGUCUAUAUACCUGCACCACCUGCGAGCAAGCAAGUGCAUGUGCUUACCUCUGGCAGGUGGAGCAGUGGAGGUCGGCGUUGAUCUGACCCAGCAGGCACACACGGUACGUAUGGGAUUGAUUAGAGGCACUGUGCUCUUGGUGAUAAGAAAUCGAAUUCCUUAAAACAAAUAAUAAAGUAAUUGGGUUUUUCGGCCCGGGGAAAAAGGAAUGGAUUCACGUCGCUCUGGCUGCCCACACAAGCUCAUUCCUUUUGGCCAUAGGUGGCCUGAAAGUCGUGUCCGGAAAUGCAUUAAUACCAGCACGAAUAGCAGUGAUCAUUAAUAAACCAACUGCACUCGGUAGAUUCUGGAACAUUAGGUGGUCGGCGGUGCUUGCGUGUUACGGUACAAGCACAUGUAGCCUAUGAGCUCCUAUUUCGUGUUUUCCCACGCAGUAAUUUCAUACAUACAUACAUACAUGUGCGUACGUACCCUCCUCCUCCUGAGCACGGCACAUUGAUGACCUGGCCGACUUGCAGCCUGGUGGGGACAACUCCCGGGUUCAAGGACUGAAUGACGUCCACGGUGGUGCCGCGCCGCUGAGCGAUGGCCCAAAAGGUGUCACCAGGCUGGAUGGUGUACGUGCAGCCUGCGUAAAUUGAGUGAGGCAAGGGAGACACCCUACUUAAGCAGGAGCAGCGCCGCUGCGGCUCAUUCGAUCAUCACAUAAAAUAUCGCCUCAACACACUUGUGCCCACAGGUCUGCUGCACUUUCCUAAAGUGUGGUGCGUGUGUAGUGACUGCCUGCUGGGUAGAUGGGGAGGAUGCAACAGCAGACGCGCAGCAGCAGGCGUAUGUUCAUUAUGUGUACAACAGCUAGCUUGCAAUAAUGUAUGUGCCGUACUGGACAUAUCCGUGAAUACUACGAUAGCAAGCCAUCGGCGACGGCGCUCGGUUACCAUUUCUCUAUUUUAAUCCUAUGUUUCAUCACUAGCAUAGCAUAUCAUAGCAUGCAUAUUCAUCUAUGGAAUGUUGCCACGUUUAGAGCUUGCAUAACCCAUCUGCAUAACAAAAUGUACAGUACAGAGCGGAGAGCUGAUCACUUGUCGGUUGCAGAGUGCGUUUCCUCCUUUCUGUCCCUAGGGCAUUAAAUUUAACUAUGUUAUAAUGUUCUCUAUCUGAUUUGUAAAUGGUCAUGAAGCCGCAUCCUUUGACAUGAUGAGUCCAACAGCCGACGUCGUUGGUUUCCAGUUGGAGCCCAGCCGACGCUCUGGGGAGCCCUCGGCCACAUCGCAACCGCCAAAAUGGAGUCCUCAAAAGCAACACAUACAUUUAGCCAGGCCGCAAAAACAGGCCUGGAAGGCUCCCGGAAGCUGGCAGGUGCAGGUGCCGCUCAGCUGCAUCAAGGUGCUUCAAGGCCCCAAACUACCUUGAAGCGUUAGGAUGGAUAAAAUGAAGAGUGUAGCUGCUGUAUUCUGGGCAUAUUACGGGAUCUGCGCCCGCCGAUCGAUACUUUUCUGACGCCGUGAUACAACUCUAGCACCGCUCAGCACCGCCGAGCAAUCAGUGCAAUCGUAGGUCAGUCGGCAUGCAGAUGUCAACAUAUGAUGUCAACAUUUAACCAUCCCACGUGCAUGCGUGCCGAGGCCUACCUCUUAAAGAGCAGGGCAAAUAUACAGUAUAUACUGACGUGAUGUCGGAAAAGCGAUGUAUGUGAUGGGAUUGAAUGACGGCACACCUACCUGAUGCCAGCAAGCGCCGGCUGCUGUCGCCAUCAGCGGCGCAUGUGUCGACGAUGAACGCGGAAGCGGCGACAGCUACGACAAGCAGCAGCAGGGUGCUGCUGAAGCGCGGCAUAUUUACUUCUCGAACCGAUCUACACUGUAUUGCGUUCGUAAAUUGCACGAUGUUUGAUGUACUGCUGUUUGAAGCUCUCCUAGCUGCUUUCAAGUGCGCAGACGCAUUCAACAUUAACCUCAGCGGAAGCUUUUAUGCAGCCCCUUGCAAAAACGUGAUUCAGGGUACGACCUGAAGAAACUGCCCGUACAAAGCAAAAUGCGAAGGCGACGGCGGGCCUCGCAAUUUGUGUAAAAUCCGCGGGCAUGCGAAAUUCGGCUUGGGCGGCUUAAGCGGCUUAAUUAAGCUUGGCAAGCAGAAAUCUUCAGAAUAAAUGAGCUGCUUAAGUGCGAAAAAGCAAAAACAAAGAAAAUAAAGCGAAAACAAAAAGACGGAUAAGGGCCGGGCUCCACUGAUUUGUUUGUUAGCGCGUUUCCAAAUUCCUGAAAAGACGCUAACGCGACACCUCGCCCCUUGACGCUUUUUAUUUCAAUGUUGCAUUACCUAUGAAUGAAAAUGGUAGAAAUGAUAAGAGAACGAAGGAAGCUGGGGCGACGGUGAAGAACGUAGGGCCCGUGUUGAGACAGGGCCCUGGUUAGGACAAAGCCAAUAAACUUUAACGCGAAAAUUUCUUUGCUCUAUUUUGAAUCGGCUUACGCCCAGUCCCCUUUGGAUAUCUCGCCUACGCUUUGAAGUGCUCGCCGCGUUGACUUUCGCUGACAUACAGCAGGACAACCUGCCGUCCCAGUUUCCCACCCCAACUUUGCCCACGCAGCUUUACAGUAUCCUUCAGUCUACAAUGGCGCAGCCCUUGCAGGGUCCGCCCCGUCGCCUCGACGCAUGGCACCAAGGACAUCAGAAGGGGCACCAGCCCGGUUACCAACAGCAAAAGAAUGUCCCCUCGCAUUUUGCUAUUGCAAUGUGCAACAGAAAUGCAGGAUAGGCGCCUUUGGGCGCUAAAAAACGGAAAAGGGUGGUUUCGGGGCGGCAAGCGGAAACGGAUUGGUAGCGGCGCAAUGAUUUUUUUUUCGAAGUUAACAAGCGACUCAGUGGAGCCCCCUGUAAGGAAUACACCAACAUAAAGGAAAGCUCGUGGCACGCGGGAAGAAAGCCGCAAUGUUAAAAAAGGAAACAUUCAAUAGAAAUAAGGACUUCAAUAGUUUGGCUUGCUGAGAAGCUCGGCGACAGGGUCGCAAAGGGCAGCCUUCAUAAGCAGCAGGCAUGGGCAAGGGUGGAGCUGGCCUUCAUCCGACCCCAGAGGAGCCUUGCAAGGUCGCUCGGUUUCUUGUGUAAUCACCAAGCAGUAUUAAACCUGGGCACAUGCAGCUUCGGUCGGCGCGGCAGGCCGAUGAUAGCAGUGUGCUGUUCUCAAGUGCGCAACGGUAGUAUGCUUCAGACGACACAACCACACAAUGGUGGUAUCGAAGGAUACCGAUUGAGACAAGUGUAUUGAAUAAAUAAUCAUCAGUGACUCCACUUGGGCCUCGCGCCGACAAGUCCCCAGUACGACUGGGCGGCGCGGUAACCCUGCCCGGGCGGCCGCCCGCCCGGCCGCCAGGGCGAUGGAUUCAGGGCGAUGACCUGGAUCCUGCACUUUUGGUACAGGGCGAUGGAUGACAUACAACAAAGGUCCCACUUGGCAAGAGAACAUAAGCCUGCCGACUUAGAACAAUUCAGUACUCCUUAAAUGAAUAAAAUGAAUAGAACGCUGCUAAAACAAUCAGUGUUGGAAAAUAUAGAUGGCGCCGCAAUGCUCACCUUCUGAUCCCCAUAAAGCCUUGAGACAGAAAGCAUAAGACAUAAUUGGAUGACGUCCCAGUAGCUUAAGUACUCAGUCCAUUGCUGGCACAUGUACAGCAAGCUGACGUAUGGAUACGCGGGAAGCCCAUGACCCAGUCUCUUGCCGUUUCGGACAUAGGGACCGUAUAGGCGUAAUGCCAGCGUCACGUGGAUAGCGAAGGCUCCCUAUGUGCGGCAUUCUUUGAUAGCGAUGAGCACGCUCGCUAGUAGCGUGCGUCUUUUUACAGACUAUCAGUAGCCGCCGCAGCUAACAGUAGCCGCAAGUAAACUAAUAUCAGUAUUAGUUAGACCUGUAAUCACCGACAGCGGACAUAUAGACAGGUAAUAGUUAGUGACAGUGAAGUUAGCAAAACAGACCAGACGAGCUCACUGCCGACAGUUAUGUGUGUGUGGUUGUUACAGUGGGCUCCAGACUCCCGAAGAGUAGAGCCAUCGGGCCAGCUGGCCGUGCACUGCAGUAGAGACUAAUAUACAAACUAGACAGUUAGGCUACGGAGCUGCAAGCUGUGCAGGCAGCUUACAGGAUACAACACUCUCGAGAGGAGCAUAUGCUAGCAUGUGCUCCUAGCCCUCUAGGGGGAUUUCAAGAAGCUCGGAGACCAGAUGCUUGAUCUGGAAAAUGAGCAACAACUCUCUCGCAUGGAGAUCAUCGAUCUCCAGGGCCGGUUCAGUAAGCUAGGAACCGACCUGAGCGGCAUCACGAUGGACGCUCCUGGAGUGAUCAGCAGCAACCGGUUCUUUUACUCGGACAGCAUCAUCAUCACGUCGGCGAGGUGUCGCGUUAGCGUCUUUUCAGGAAUUUGCAAACGCGCUAACAAACAAAUCAGUGGAGCCCGGCCCUUAUCCGUCUUUUUGUUUUCGCUUUAUUUUCUUUGUUUUUGCUUUUUCGCACUUAAGCAGCUCAUUUAUUCUGAGGAUUUCUGCUUGCCAAGUUUAAUUAAGCCGCUUAAGCCGCCCAAGCCGAAUUUCGCAUGCCCGCGGAUUUUACACACAUUGCGAGGCCCGCCGUCGCCUUCGCAUUUCGCUUUGUACGGGCAGUUUCUUCAGGUCGUACCCUGAAUCACGUUUUUGCAAGGGGCUGCAUAAAAGCUUCCGCUGAGGUUAAUGUUGAAUGCGUCUGCGCAUUUGAAAGCAGCUAGGAGAGCUUCAAACAGCGGUACAUCAAACAUCGUGCAAUUUACGAGCGCAAUACAGUGUAGAUCGGUUCGAGAAGUAAAUAUGCCGCGCUGCAGCAGCACCCUGCUGCUGCUUGUCGUAGCUGUCGCCGCUUCCGCGUUCAUCGUCGACGCAUGCGCCGCUGAUGGCGACAGCAGCCGGCGCUUGCUGGCAUCAGGUAGGUGUGCCGUCAUUCAAUCCCAUCACAUACAUACGCUUUUCCGACAUCACGUCAGUAUAUACUGUAUAUUUGCCCUGCUCUCUAAGAGGUAGGCCUCGGCACGCAUGCACGUGGGAUGGUUAAAUGUUGACAUCAUAUGUUGACAUCUGCAUGCCGACUGACCUACGAUUGCACUGAUUGCUCGGCGGUGCUGAGCGGUGCUAGAGUUGUAUCACGGCGUCAGAAAAGUAUCGAUCGGCGGGCGCAGAUCCCGUAAUAUGCCCAGAAUACAGCAGCUACACUCUUCAUUUUAUCCAUCCUAACGCUUCAAGGUAGUUUGGGGCCUUGAAGCACCUUGAUGCAGCUGAGCGGCACCUGCACCUGCCAGCUUCCGGGAGCCUUCCAGGCCUGUGGGUUUUUGCGGCCUGGCUAAAUGUAUGUGUUGCUUUUGAGGACUCCAUUUUGGCGGUUGCGAUGUGGCCGAGGGCUCCCCAGAGCGUCGGCUGGGCUCCAACUGGAAACCAACGACGUCGGCUGUUGGACUCAUCAUGUCAAAGGAUGGGGCUUCAUGACCAUUUACAAAUCAGAUAGAGAAGAUUAUAACAUGGUUAAAUUUAAUGCCCUAGGGACAGAAAGGAGGAAACGCGCUCCGCAACCCGACAAGUGAUCAGCUCUCCGCUCUGUACUGUACAUUUUGUUAUGCAGAUGGGUUAUGCAAGCUCUAAACGUGGCAACAUUCCAUAGAUGAAUAUGCAUGCUAUGAUAUGAUAUGCUAGUGAUGAAACAUAGGAUUAAAACAGAGAAAUGGUAACCGAGCGCCGUCGCCGAUGGCUUGCUAUCGUAGUACUGACGGAUAUGUCCAGUACGGCACAUACAUUAUUGCAAGCUAGCUGUUGUACACAUAAUGAACAUACGCCUGCUGCUGCGCGUCUGCUGUUGCAUCGUCCUUAUCUACCCAGCAGGCAGUCACUACACACGCACCACACUUUAGAAAAGUGCAGCAGACCUGUGGGCACAAGUGUGUUGAGGCGAUAUUUUAUGUGAGGAUCGAAUCAGCCACAGCGGCGCUGCUCCUGCUUAAGUAGGGUGUCUCCCUUGCCUCACUAAAUUUACGCAGGCUGCACGUACACGUACACCAUCCAGCCUGGUGACACCUUUUGGGCCCUCGCCCAGCGGCGCGGCACCACCGUGGACGUCAUUCAGGCCUUGAACCCGGGCGUUGUCCCCACCAGGCUGCAAGUCGGCCAGGUCAUCAAUGUGCCGUGCUCAGGAGGAGGGUACGUACGCAUGUAUGUAUGUAUGUAUGAAAUUACUGCGUGGGAAAACGAAAUAGGAGCUCAUAGGCUACAUGUGUGUGUGUGUUACAUGGUUGGGGGUGCGUGACCCCAUACCUGUAAGACUACCCAUACGAGCCGAAGGCCCAAGGGCAAUACUACAACGCCUAAAAGCCACGGAGAAAAGGAAAAAAAAAGGCUACAUGUGCUUGUACCGUAACACGCAAGCACCGCCGACCACCUAAUGUUCCAGAAUCUACCGAGUGCAGUUGGUUUAUUAAUGAUAACUGCUAUGAGUGCUGAUAUUAGUGCAUUUCCGGACACGACUUUCGGGCCACCUAUGGCCAAAAGGAAUGAACUUGUGUGGGCGGCCAGAGCGACGUGAAUCCAUUCAUUUUUCCCAAGUCCGAAAACCCCAAUUUAUUUCUUAUUUUAUUGAAUCUGAUUUCUUGUCACUAAGAGCACAGUGCCUCUAAUCAAUCCCAUACGUACCGUGUGUGCCUGCUGGAUCAGAUCAAUGCCGACCUCCACUACUCCAGCUGCCAGAGGUAAGCACAUGCACUUGCUUGCUCGCAGGUGGUGCAGAUAUAUAGACACAUGACUGCCCGUUUAGGAUUUCUUGCGUAGUUGCCUUACUGCUUAGGGGUCGUACAGACGGAGGGGUAGGAAAGUUGUGCUUUUGCUUCCGUGGGAAGGGGCGAGCCUGGUCACAAAAAAUUCGUUUCACUCAGAAAACAUACAGAUUUUAAGAUUUGUGUCAAAGUAAUAUUGUCAGAAAGAGGUGGAAUAGAUAGUAGUGUGGAAGUGGUGACGGCGGAGCCAUCGUCUGUCAUCCCCAGCAGUCCGGAGGCGAUCCAUCGUCAAUGAGAGCGCGGUGCUAUUGCGAACACAGCUGACGAAGGAGCGUUUACAAGGGGAUUACCUGGGCCUAUGGCUAGCUCGUUCUUGGGUGUCAUCCCACUUGCAUUUUGCGUUUGUUGAGUGUUUCAGAGGGAGGAGGUAAUAAAAUAAUCAUCCUUCGCAGCAAUUCUAUUGAAUCUGCAAACCCUGAACCAGCUGCUGAGUAAAUUAAAACAGUUAUGAACUAAUCAACUCGGAAGUCUCCCUCUGAGAAACACCGGACGGUACUUCGUUUAUAGCUGUUGGGUGCGACCGCUGACACCAUCCCAUAAUAUGCAUACUAUGCUAUGCUAGUGAUGAAACAGAGAAAUGGUAACAGAACGCCGUCGCCGAUGGCUUGCUAUCGUAGUAUUGACGGAUAUGUCCAGUACGGCACAUACAUUAUUGCAAGCUAGCUGUUGUACACAUAAUGAACAUACGCCUGCUGCUGCGCGUCUGCUGUUGCAUCCUCCCCAUAUACCCAACAGGCAGUCACUACACACGCACCACACUUUAGGAAAGUGCAGCAGACCUGUGGGCACAAGUGUGUUGAGGCGAUAUUUUAUGUGAGGAUCGAAUGAGCCGCAGCGGCGCUGCACUUGCUUAAGUAGGGUGUUUCCCUUGCCUCACUCAAUUUACACAGGCUGCACGUACACCAUCCAGCCUGGCGACACCUUUUGGGCCCUUGCCCAGGGGCGCGGCACCACCGUGGACGCCAUUCAGGCCUUGAACCCGGGCGUUGUCCCCACCAGGCUGCAAGUUGGCCAGGUCAUCAAUGUGCCAUGCGGCAGCAAUGGCCCUGCACCGCAAGGGUAUGUACCAUAUACGCACACAUGCAUAACACACCUGCAUGUGUGUCAUCAGGUCCCCUGUCUUCCCCCUGCCGGCUAGCUGUCCGGACUGUCCUCAGCACGGUAUAUGUGGCAUAUGUACGUGCGAUAGGAACCUCUGCGAAGGUAGAUGGGAUCAGUACUGCACGUGCAGCCAUGUGCCCUCUGCAUGCCUGUCUCCGAGGGUGUGUGUACGAACUCGACACGCUCUGCUUGCUGUUGUUGCUUCUGUGACAGAGUCUAGCUACUAUUAGACUACUAAUACCCCCCAAGCGUGUGUACACCACCCUGCCCGUCACACUUCGCCCCACUCUGUCCCCCACUGCCCGCGCAGUGGUGGUAGCAAAGUCCUUUACUCGGGAUCGGGCAGUGGCACCUACUACUACGACCUGCGCACCACGUGCCCCCAAAACCCCGGUGGCUUCCCAGAGAACAACGGCUACCCCUAUUGCGCCAGCUAUAACGCGUCUGCACCCACCUACAAGACUCUCGCUCAGCUGGGCAGUAAUAACGCCAUUGCCAUUGACCGGAAUGUGCUGUCAGCAAAUCGUGCCAGGCUGUGUGGCAAAAAAGUCCUGGUGUUCAAGAAUGGCGUUCCUGUGACGGCUCCGAACGGUGGUAGCUUCUUCGUGUGGGACGGCUGCGAGGCAUGUGUUGGCGGGGGUCGCAUUGACUUCAGUUUGAGUGGUUUGCAGGGGGCCGCCAGCAAUGCCUGUUCGCUGGGGGUGGUUCCGGGCAUCUCCUGGCAAGCGGUGGAUGAGGUGGUGCAGCGGUUUGUACCUCCGUGAUUGAUGAUGAGAACCUUAUAAUGUCCAGAUAGAUUGUUCUAUCCGUCGUACAUGCAUGGAGCGCUGGAUGCAUACACUUAUUUUCUGAGUGUCCUGGUUGAAAUAGUUGAAGAAAGACCGGCUCAUCACCGCCAUAAAUGAAAGCAGUUGUUGCGAGCGGAUUACCGUGGCUACCCUGGGCCAAACCCUGUGACAGACAACGGUAUAGACCAGGAGUGUUUAGGCCGGUGUAAAGUACCAAGGAAAGCCCCGCACCUCACACCCCGGACCGUCCCAAAUGACCAGCUAAAUGACUAAUACGAUGCUAACAAAAGGUUUUGUGGGCAAUGGCCAGAGCGGAGCAAGGUUGGCCAAGAUGCCGUACUCGUCGGUGUCGGACUCUUUCUGUGCUCAGCUGCAUAGGCUGUCAAAGCUGCUAGGGUCGUCGUAAUUUAUUCCUUAAGUGUGAGGCGCUGGGGGAAGCUCCGGGGCCCCCCAGACCCCCCACGAUAAGUCACAACUCCCCUCAUAGACCAAGAGUCACGCACUGAGUUGGCGCGUUUUCGUUCGUGUGUGAACUCUUCGUGCACGUGCGUAGAUAGUUCUGGCACUGUUUGUGAUCAAUAAGUAAAGUUGACCAAGCAAAGGCCCAAAGCAAGCAACCGCAUAGCAAAUCACAGGCCGCCACCCGCCGCUGCAAACCACAGCACACUAGGACUCUACCGGUUCAUCACGUACCGGCCCCUGCUGCUGCUGUCCAGCCACUCUCAGUGCGUCACGGAACGGGAACGUGCCCAGGUCGAACAGGUCCUGGGUAUACAUCCGCACACACAGUGCCAGGUGCUCGUCCAGGCGGUUGCGGGUGGGGUCCUGCAAGUACCCCAUUGCCGAGAACCGGCACUCUUCCUCCACCGACCCCGGCACCAUCACUAACACCAGACGGGUCCGCCUCAUUUUAUUCUUGCCAAAAUGCCUGUUUAUCCCUUUUAAGUAAUAUAUUACUUAAAAAAAACGCUGGAUGGAGAACACCGGCCGAACCAACAAAAAGAUCGAUCAUGCUCCCACCUGCUUCACCCUUGGGGAAGGUCAGACGACCCUCCAAAUCCCCAGAAACACGGCAAUUUAAUACCAGAAGUCCCUGUGAUCAGCACAGGGCACCCAACGGGUGCCCAACAAAAUCGCAGACGAGGUCCUCACUCCUACAUGCAGGCACGUCUGCAUAGCCCUGAGGGUCCGCGUCACCCGGCAAGCCCAUGAACUCCUGCAGUGCCGUCAGCUGAUCUAAAUCUGGAACAUCAUUAACAUACCCGGGCAGGUCAGCAGGCGAGGACCGGUGCUUUGCAUGCAGUGCACUGGAUAGACGGGCAUCUAGAUCACCGGCAAGCAUGACAUCCUCCCCCGGCUGCCGGAGCUCGGAAAUGUCUUGUUGGACUCUCGUGAAAGUAGCCUCUGCUGCUGCUGCAUGCUGUGCAUUAGUUGCACCUCCGGCUGGGUAUACUCUGGAAGCUUCGGGCGCAAGGUAACAGGCCCCCACCAGGAGGCUGUUUCCUGACAGGAGGUUGACACGUAUCCACAGGACCUCACAGCCUGCAAGACUGUUGUUUUUCCGGACAAUGGUAACCCCCUGGGAGACGGUAUCAUGCACGUAAAGAGCAACCCCGCCAUAGUCAGCGUGUACGGCGUCUCCUGACCUCUGCACCCGCAUCACGCGGAAACCUUCAAGGAACACGUCACUGUCUGGCACUGCAUCCGUUAAGUGUGCUUCGGUAGCAAUGAUGAUCACAUGGCUAGUCACAAAAUACUUAACUCCAGCAUGGCCAAGUUUUAUGACCCCUGUCUCCGGCAACCCAUAGACAUUCCACAACAAAACCUUCAAUCCUCUUUGCCCUGGGCUCGCGUUAUCCUAGUAUCCACUUCAGCAGGCAGGCCUGCAAACCGGUCAGCACUAGUAUGCUCGCCAGCCUGGUCAUGAGGUCGGUUAUCAGCUCUGCUGCUGGGCCCUGCAUGUCCCUCCCGGCUUCUAAUUGUUCCCUUGUCAACCCCAGAGCUUCAACUCCCACCACGGCUGUCUCGAUCCUGGUCCUUUGCACUCCUCCGCCCAGAGUGAAGCCGUCAAUGUCCAUGGUGGGGCCGGUGGCAAAGCUGGGCCUCGAAUCCCGAGGUGCUGGUGCCUGGUUUCGGGACUGGUCAAGCCUUCUAGGUGAUGCUGAGUACAUGAGCCUGUAUACUGGCUCUGUGCGUGGGUAUUUGCCUCCUUUUGCCUUUACUGCACUCAGUGAAGCCACGUGUGUUUCUCGGAUCUUCAUACCCAGCUGCUGUCUGUAAGACGGUGGAGCUGGUGGUGGGGCGGCUGGUGAUGAUGCCAUUGGCAUGGGAGGUGGUGGUGGCGGUGGUGGUGGUGGUGGCAUGCUGCCACCGGCAGCGGCACCACUGCUACCAGUAACACCGACUCCGCCUGUAUGGCCCUCAGAAGGCAUAUUUACAGCGUCGUCAUCAUUCUCAGCAUCCAUUCUCCGCCUUCUCCACCAUCGCUGUCGUCGUCACUGUACUGACUUGGGUAUGGCACCGGUGCUCCCCCGUUCGGUCUCUUCUUGUAAUACAGCUCCGCCCCGUUACACCACAUGGGGAUCCACUGCUUCACCUUAAUCACCUGCCACAUGGGCCGUAGCCUUGACCUUUCAGCACGCACUUCCUUGGUGAGCGAGUCGUCUACCCGAAGACCCAACCUUUUCAGGUCAGGUGCAGCAUUAAAGUAUUUGGACCGGUCUUUCCACCUGAUGUCAAUGAACCAGCUCUUCGUGUUGCGAUCUGGCCUCUCAAUAUGAGUGAGAAGACCGCUUGGCCAUUGCCCACAAAACCUUUUGUUAGCAUCGUAUUAGUCAUUUAGCUGGUCAUUUGGGACGGUCCGGGCUGUGCGGUGCGGGGCUUUCCUUGGUACUUUACACCGGCCUAAACACUCCUGGUCUAUACCGUGUGUCUGUUACAGGGUUUGGCCCAGGGUAGCCACAGUAAUCCGCUCGCAACAACUGCUUUCAUUUAUGGCGGUGAUGAGCCGGUCUUUCUUCAACUAUUUCAACCAUGACACUCAGGAAAUAAGUGUAUGCAUCCACGCAUGUAUCCAUGCAUGUACGACGGAUAGAACAAUCUAUCUGGACAUUAUAAGGUUCUCAUCAUCAAUCACGGAGGUACAAACUGCUGCACCACCUCAUCCACCACUUGCCAGGAGAUGCCCGGAACCACCCCCAGCGAACAGGCAUCGCUAGCCGCCCGCUGCAAACCACUCAAACUGAAGUCAAUGCGACCCCCGCCAACACAUGCCUCGCAGCCGUCCCACACGAAGAAGCUACCACCGUCCGGAGCCGUCACAGGAACGCCAUCCUUGAACACCAGGAUCUUUUUGCCACACAGCCCGGCACGAUUUGCUGACAGCACAUUGCGGUCAAUGGCAAUGACGUUAUUACUGCCCAGCUGAGCGAGAGUCUUGUAGGUGGGUGCAGACGGGUCAUAGCUGGCGCAAUAGGGGUAGCCGUUGUUCUCUGGGAAGCCGCCGGGGUUUUGGGGGCACGUGGUGCGCAGGUCGUAGUAGUAGGUGCCACUGCCUGAUCCCGAGUAAAGGACUUUGC
rnacentral:lncRNA from 1 species